rnacentral:rRNA from 1 species
CGGGGAUGACUUGUGGGUAGCGGUGAAAUUCCAAUCGAGCCCGGAGAUAGCUGGUUCUCCCCGAAAUAGCUUUAGGGCUAGCCUCAAGGUGAGAGAUACGGAGGUAGAGCACUGAAUGUCCUAGGGGGUAUUGCACCUACCGAAGACUAUCAAACUCCGAAUGCCGUCAUCUUAUACUUGGGAGUCAGACUGUGGGUGAUA